rnacentral:rRNA from 1 species
GACGAACGCUGGCGGCGUGCUUAACACAUGCAAGUCGAACGGAAAGGCCCUGCUUUUGUGGGGUGCUCGAGUGGCGAACGGGGGAGUAACACGUGAGUAACCUGCCCUUGACUUUGGGAUAACUUCAGGAAACUGGGGCUAAUACCGGAUAGGAGCUCCUGCUGCAUGGUGGGGGUUGGAAAGUUUCGGCGGUUGGGGAUGGACUCGCGGCUUAUCAGCUUGUUGGUGGGGUAGUGGCUUACCAAGGCUUUGACGGGUAGCCGGCCUGAGAGGGUGACCGGCCACAUUGGGACUGAGAUACGGCCCAGACUCCCACGGGAGGCAGCAGUGGGGAAUAUUGCACAAUGGGCGGAAGCCUGAUGCAGCAACGCCGCGUGCGGGAUGACGGCCUUCGGGUUGUAAACCGCUUUCGCCUGUGACGAAGCGUGAGUGACGGUAAUGGGUAAAGAAGCACCGGCUAACUACGUG